GAUAAACGCUGGCGGCGUGCCUAACACAUGCAAGUCGAACGCGCUUUCUCCGCAAGGAGAGAGCGAGUGGCGGACGGGUGAGUAACACAUGGGUACCUACCCCACAGUGAGGGAUACCGGCGAGAAAUCGCCGACAAUACCGCAUAGGCUUCUUCGCAAGGAGAAGCAAAGUUGCGCAAGCGACGCUGAGGGAUGGGCCUGUGGCCGAUUAGCUAGUUGGGGGGGUAACGGCCUCCCAAGGCGACGAUCGGUAGCUGGUCUGAGAGGACGAUCAGCCACACUGGGAUUGAGAACGGCCCAGACUCCUACGGGGGGCAGCAGUGAGGAAUUUUCCGCAAUGGAGGCAACUCUGACGGAGCAACGCCGCGUGCAGGAUGAAGGUUUUCGGAUCGUAAACUGCUUUUCUCGGGGACGAGCAAGGACGGUACCCGAGGAAGAAGCCCCGGCUAACUACGUGCCAGCAGCCGCGGUAAUACGUAGGGGGCGAGCGUUGUCCGGAUUUAUUGGGCGUAAAGCGCACGCAGGCGGUGCGGUAAGUUUGGGGUGACAGCGGUCGGCUUAACCGGUCGAGUGUCCCAAAGACUGCCG
rnacentral:rRNA from 1 species